rnacentral:rRNA from 1 species
UACGUAGGACCCAAGCGUUGUCCGGAUUUACUGGGUAUAAAGGGUGCGCAGGCGGUCAGGUGCGUCAGAAGUGAAAUAUCCGGGCUUAACCCGGAGGGUGCUUUUGAUACGGCUUGACUUGAGUCCGAGAGAGGAUGAUGGAAUUCCUGGUGUAGCAGUGAAAUGCGUAGAUAUCAGGAGGAACACCGGUGGCGAAGGCGGUCAUCUGGCUCGGAACUGACGCUCAGGCACGAAAGCGCGGGGAUCAAACAGG